rnacentral:rRNA from 1 species
GACGAACGCUGGCGGCGUGCUUAACACAUGCAAGUCGAACGGUGAAGCGCCUUCCUUUUUGGUGGGUGUGGAUGAGUGGCGAACGGGUGAGUAACACGUGAGUAACCUGCCCCCUUCUUCUGGAUAACCGCAUGAAAGUGUGGCUAAUACGGGAUAUUCUGGGUCUGUCGCAUGAUGGGUCUGGGAAAGAUAUUGUUUCGGUGGGGGAUGGGCUCGCGGCCUAUCAGCUUGUUGGUGGGGUGAUGGCCUACCAAGGCGGUGACGGGUAGCCGGCCUGAGAGGGUGGACGGUCACACUGGGACUGAGACACGGCCGAGACUCCUACGGGAGGCAGCAGUGAGGAAUAUUGCACCAUGGGCGCAAGACUGAUGCAGCGACGCCGCGUGAGGGAUGGAGGCCUUCGGGUUGUGAACCUCUUUCGCCAGUGAAGCAGGCCUGCCUCGUUUGUGAGUGGGUUGACGGUAGCUGGAUAAGAAGCGCCGGCUAACUACGUG